CUGGCGGCGUGCUUAACACAUGCAAGUCGAACGGAAAGGCCCGCUUGCGGGUACUCGAGUGGCGAACGGGUGAGUAACACGUGGGUAACCUGCCCCCUGCUUCGGGAUAACUCCGGGAAACCGGGGCUAAUACCGGAUAUUCAUUGCCUGCCGCAUGGUGGGUGGUGGAAAGUUUUUUCGGCUGGGGAUGGGCCCGCGGCCUAUCAGCUUGUUGGUGGGGUGAUGGCCUACCAAGGCUUCGACGGGUAGCCGGCCUGAGAGGGCGACCGGCCACACUGGGACUGAGACACGGCCCAGACUCCUACGGGAGGCAGCAGUGGGGAAUAUUGCGCAAUGGGCGGAAGCCUGACGCAGCGACGCCGCGUGAGGGAUGACGGCCUUCGGGUUGUAAACCUCUUUCAGCAGGGACGAAUGUAGACGGUACCUGUAGAAGAAGCACCGGCCAACUACGUGCCAGCAGCCGCGGUAAUACGUAGGGUGCGAGCGUUGUCCGGAAUUAUUGGGCGUAAAGAGCUCGUAGGCGGUCUGUCGCGUCGAAUGUGAAAACCCGGGGCUCAACUCCGGGCUUGCAUUCGAUACGGGCAGGCUAGAGUUCGGUAGGGGAGUCUGGAAUUCCUGGUGUAGCGGUGAAAUGCGCAGAUAUCAGGAGGAACACCGGUGGCGAAGGCGGGACUCUGGGCCGAUACUGACGCUGAGGAGCGAAAGCGUGGGGAGCGAACAGGAUUAGAUACCCUGGUAGUCCACGCCGUAAACGUUGGGCGCUAGGUGUGGGGGUCCUUCCACGAUCUCCGUGCCGCAGCUAACGCAUUAAGCGCCCCGCCUGGGGAGUACGGCC
rnacentral:rRNA from 1 species